GUGAGGAAGGACGUAUUUUCUUCCCCUUCCGCCAUGAUUGAGGAGAUGACCUCAAGACAAGCAGCUUCCAUGCAAUACUGCAGCAAGGGCUUACUUUCCUGAGCAUUUCCCACGCUCCAAUCACUGCUCUAAUUCCUUUAGAUGUGUUAACUCACUUCCUGCUCACAAUACUUCUAUGAGAUGAGGAAAUGGAGGGACCAAGAUAACUGCCCCAGAGCCAACCCCAGGUCCAGCGGACUCUUUCCUCCUCAGAGGCUUGCCCCAGGAGAGACCAGCUGAACAGGCAUUGCCUGGGACUCCUUGGGGAAGUGGAGGUUGGAAAAGUAAGUGAAGGAACAAGCACUGGGGGGGGGGUCAGUGUUCAGUUCAUCCCUUGCUAUGGCCCCAUCCUCAAACCUGUCACAAAGCCCUGCCAGCCAGGGCACCCACAAAGCCCACCUUCUCCAGAGGGGCCUGAAUCUCUUGUUGGGCUUGGUGUGGGUUUCGGAGGCGAUGACUGGGCUGAAGUGACCUCUCUCAUUCAACAGACUCAGCCACUCAGGGCUGGGCCUGGCCUGACUCUAGGAGCACAAGAUGCAGCCUCUGUCCUCAGAGAUUCAAAGGUUGAGCAGACAUUGGCCACAGUCCCGGCUGGCUCCGACCGUGGCAGAGGCUGAACCAGAGCAGAGGAGGAAGCAGAGGGGUGGGCCGCAAGCUCUUCUUGGAGUCUCAGGAGCUGCAGAGAGCAAGCUGGGCUUCCUGGAGGAGGAGGCGUGAGAGUUGGGCCUUGAAGCACUCAGCAGCUGUUUCCUGAGCUGAUGUACAUCUCAUUAGUCUAUCAAGCUCCAACAGCCAAGGCCAAGGCCCCCAGAAUGAAAAACUGACGCAGCCACCCCUUCCUGUGCCAGAGACAGGAGAAGGGAGGGAGACUGACGGCCUUUGUUCUCUGAGCAAGACCGUAAAGCACUUCGCCUACAGGCCACAAGAGGGCGAUGGUGGUCCACACAUAAGAUCUUCCCAAAGAGCCAGCCAAAAACGCCUGCCUGGAGAAUCUGGAGGUUGUGAAAGGUGACUUUGUUAAGGAAGGGCGAUGGCCCUUCUCCCUGCCCCAGAGCUCUGAAAGCCUUUAAAGUGGCUUUAGCAGCGUGGUUUAAGAAUGGCUCCUUCGGUACAAGGACGGCCAUCACUGCUUCUCCUACUGUGUUUGAUGCCAGCGUUCUUCCCGUCUGCAGGGAAGGACGGAGAGUGAGGAGGGCACACAGGACGUAGCUGGCUCCUGGCCAUGGACGGUGACCGCUCUGGGGCCAGCAGGGUAGAGCUGCCUUCCUACAUCUGAGAACUCAAGGGCGAGAGGGAGGCAGGGCAGGGGAGAGGGUUGGUCUCAGUUCACAGGGCGACCCUCUGGCCCUGGUUCUGACGGCGACUCGCUGUGUAAGCUAAGGAGUGUCUCGCUCUGUACAGCGGGCAGGUGGUGGGUCUCUGCACGUCCAGCAUCUCCAGCUUUCCGUCCUCUGAGCUGUUUUGACAUGGGAGGCGCUGGCAGGGAGAGAGGGGUCACUGAUGUGGGAAGCUGGUGCAGAGCUGGGGAGUAGCUUGUGAUGCUGGAGAACCUGGAGAUGCCCCUCCCAUUCCUUGGGCCUCGACUGUCUCAUCUGUGGAAUGGGCGGGUCAGACUGGAUAAUCUCUAACCAUUGCUUCCCUUCACUUCUGUCCCAAUAAACACACACGGAGCUUUUUCGUUUGUCUUUUGUCUUUUUUUUUUUUUUUUUUUUUUUUUUAGAGACGAGGUCUCACUAUGUUGUUCCCCAGGUCUGAGUACAG
rnacentral:lncRNA from 10 species